CAAUUCCGGGAGAAGUCCCUUAGGAAUAAAUUCGGAAAAAUUAACUGACGUAACUUGACGCUUGACGGCACGCUUGACGCUUGUAUUUAUUUCAUCAAGCAUGCGCAGUGAUGAGAGACGGGGACCCUGGGUUGAAAAAUGUCCAAGAGUGAACAAAUAAUUCAUAGUCUGUAUACGAUUCUCGGAAUUUUCGGGGAUUUAUGAAAUCAUGUCACCAAGAACUGAAGAUUUGUUGUGAUGGAAACUCUAUUAUUUAAACUUCGGCUCGAGAUUGUAAAAUCCCAUACAACACGGCCGCUCAUGUUGUAAACAUUACUUAUAAAAUGAUUAUUAUUUAUCUGAUUUGGUAGAGUAUAAACACUAAAAUCAUGCAAACCUUUGUGCUAUAUACUAUAAAAUAGUGCUAAUUAAACAAUAGAAAACAUUAGAAUAGCAUAAUUUAUUAGCAGUAUUUAGUGGUAUUUAUGUUGCACAGUUUUAGUGUUUGUACUCUACAUGAAUGAACUAAUAAUAAUUAUUAUUUUGAUAAAAAUAAAAAAAUGUUAUUAUACAGCAAAAAGGCUAUCAUGGUUGAAACAAUUCAUUUUGCUGUUGUAUAAGAUGAUAAAAAAAAUCACCCGACAAAGGAUAAAAUGUGAUACAUAGCUAUAACUAAAGUUACAAUGAUAAUAUAAUAUAUUGUACAGAACCACCAUAAAAUUGCAUUAUACAGC